UUUUUUUUUUUUUUUGAUCACAAAGUACGACUUAUAAUGAAACUUGGAUUAAAUUUUCAAGCAUUUCAGUUUAAUCAAACAACUCUAUCUACAUAGUACCUACCAAAUAAAAUCUAAAAAUAGACGGACAUACUUCGCACGUGAGUGCAGCCACUGUGGUACGUGGGAAGUCGGGAAAGUAGGAUACAGAAAGUAUAUCUGUAAGAAACGAAUGAAAAAACGAUUCUUCAGUUGAUAGUGAUGCUUUGUCAAUAAUAGACAGCGUGUCCCACCGUGUUAGAAAGAUUUUUCUAGCACUAUUAAUAUUAAAUUUGUUUACAUCUUUUUUCAAUCGGUUUGUCUUAGAGAAGGACAUCGAUUUG